UACGUAGGGUCCGAGCGUUGUCCGGAGUUACUGGGCGUAAAGCGCGCGCAGGCGGCGGUAUAAGCAUGGCGUGAAAGCCCCAGGCUUAACCUGGGAGGGUCGUCGUGGACUGUACCGCUUGAGGGCGAUAGGGGCUGGUGGAAUGCCUGGUGUAGUGGUGAAAUGCGUAGAUAUCGGGAGGAACACCUGUGGCGAAAGCGGCUCACUGGACCACAACUGACGCUGAGGCGCGAAAGCUAGGGGAGCAAACAGG
rnacentral:rRNA from 1 species